CCUACGGGAGGCAGCAGUGGGGGAUAUUGCACAAUGGGGGAAACCCUGAUGCAGCGACGCCGCGUGGGCGAAGAAGUAUUUCGGUAUGUAAAGCUCUAUCAGCAGGGAAGAAGAAAUGACGGUACCUGAGUAAGAAGCACCGGCUAAAUACGUGCCAGCAGCCGCGGUAAUCCGUAGGGUGCAAGCGUUAUCCGGAUUUACUGGGUGUAAAGGGAGCGCAGGCGGCACGGCAAGCCUGAUGUGAAAGUCCGCGGCCCAACCGCGGGACUGCAUUGGGAACUACCGGGCUGGUGAGCCGGAGAGGUAGGCGGAAUUCCGAGUGUAGCGGUGAAAUGCGUAGAUAUUGGGAAGAACACCAGUGGCGAAGGCGGCCUACUGGACGGUGACUGACGCUGAGGCUCGAAAGCGUGGGGAGCAAACAGGAUUAGAUACCCGAGUAGUC
rnacentral:rRNA from 1 species